UAUACAUUGUGUCGCUGGGAGCGCAUAAGGCGUGGGUCCCCAGGGCCCUCUUGGCUCCCUCCCGGCACCCCAGACCAAAGCGAAUACUUUUGCUCCCGGUACCGCCAAUGGCACAAAGGAACAAUUAAGAAGUCAUGUCCUUGUAAACAUUCCACUUGAGGUGUUGAGAGCUUGAUGACCUUGAAAGGGCAGGAGGGAAUGUUCUAAGAAAAUAACUCUGUUGUUCCUUUAUGGGUGAUCACACAAAGGAACUUUUUUGGAAUCAGGUAAUGCCGAGAAACAUAGAGAACGCCCGCUACAAGGAAUUUGCUAACAAAUACAACGCCACGCUCGCCACAAUAAAACGGCCAGUCUAACACUCUGCUGUUGUCUGUGUCCGUCUGUCAUCUUCGCCGACGCCGUUCAUCCUUCGGGAACCCCUGGACCUGCUGGGGCUGGACCUCGGCAAGUGGCGCCCGAACAGGGACCUGAAGACAGACUCACCGGACUUGUCCAACCCACCGCCUCCUCCGCCUUACCACUUGCUGACGCAAACAAGAGACAUCUUCCGGAGGAGAACCCAAGAGAACCCCUGACCCAUCACAUGAGAAAGCUUCGCCUUCAGGACAACUGGCAGCCGCUGAGACCGACACCGGCGCCGCGGCGGGGACCGACCCAGACGACUCGAGAAAGCAGUCCGCCAACUUGGGGCCAACUGAAGAAGCUGACCAAAGAAGCCGAAGGUGUGGUUCUCAACCAAGGAGUUCAGUUUCUCCUUCUACUCUCUUUGUUGCUAUGCUUGCUAUCUUGGCGUGUCAGGUAAAUGGUGUUGAACCGGUUACUUCGUAUUGGGCUUAUUUACCUAACCCUCCUUCUUUUCAACCGGUAACUUGGGAAAAUGAGGUUAUCCCAGUUUACACUAACAUUGCUCUUUGGAUGGGAGGAACUCAGUCUCCUGUUCAAUCGGGACAGGCUGUUAAUACAAAGAACUUCUCCUUUUAUGGGGUCUCAA